CCCCUACCCAUGUGUAUAGGACCCCAAAGGAUCACCAUUAAAUUAGGUACAGAUCUCUAGAAAAGUUAUCACAUGAGUGUGGGACUUAAUUUUUUUAGUGAUCCGUGCUAAAUUUAAUGGUGAUCCUUUGGGGUCCUACACACAUGGGUGGGGG
rnacentral:pre_miRNA from 1 species